GAUGAACGCUGGCGGCGUGCCUAAUACAUGCAAGUCGAGCGAACAGACGAGGAGCUUGCUCCUCUGACGUUAGCGGCGGACGGGUGAGUAACACGUGGAUAACCUACCUAUAAGACUGGGAUAACUUCGGGAAACCGGAGAUAAUACCGGAUAAUAUAUUGAACCGCAUGGUUCAAUAGUGAAAGACGGAUUUGCUGUCACUUAUAGAUGGAUCCGCGCCGCAUUAGCUAGUUGGUAAGGUAACGGCUUACCAAGGCAACGAUGCGUAGCCGACCUGAGAGGGUGAUCGGCCACACUGGAACUGAGACACGGUCCAGACUCCUACGGGAGGCAGCAGUAGGGAAUCUUCCACAAUGGGCGAAAGCCUGACGGAGCAACGCCGCGUGAGUGAUGAAGGUCUUCGGAUCGUAAAGCUCUGUUAUUAGGGAAGAACAAAUGUGUAAGUAACUAUGCACGUCUUGACGGUACCUAAUCAGAAAGCCACGGCUAACUACGUG
rnacentral:rRNA from 1 species